GGAACUCGAUCCGCAGAAGCUUCUGGCGUUCUUUUCACGGUUCGGGGAAAUUGAAGAGGGACCUUUGGGGCUGGAUAAGCUAACCGGAAAACCGAAAGGGUUUUGUUUGUUUGUUUACAGGAGUGCGGAGAGUGCGAGGAGAGCCUUGGAGGAGCCUCAUAAGGACUUUGAGGGGCAUAUUUUGCACUGCCAGAAGGCGAUUGAUGGGCCCAAGCCUGGGAAGUUGCAGCAGCAGCAACACGGGAACGUAAAUGCCCAGGCUCAGCGGACCCAGUAUCAGAGGAAUGAUACUGCCAAUACAGGUGGUGCGUAUGUUGGUGGUGCUGCGGCAGCACAGCCGGGGCACUUGAUGGCUCCAGCUGGGCCAGGGAUUGGGUUUAACCAGGCAACGUUGAAUCCGGCAUUGGGGCAGGCGUUGACGGCCCUCCUGGCGUCGCAGGGGACGUUGGGGCUGACGAAUUUGUUGGGGAGUAUUGGAACGAGUGCUGCGGUGAACCCUGGUGUGCCUGCUUCGGGGGCUGGAGUACAGAGUGGUUACAGUGCUCAGUCAAAUAUUAGUCCCGGUGUCAUUGGAGGAUAUGGAACCCAGGUGG
rnacentral:lncRNA from 1 species